CUCUGUAAACUUCAGCAUUGAUGAUGAACAUUAUUUCAAGGAAAUAUCCCACUACUUUAUCUCUGUAAAGACAUCCAUAGAGAAUGGGCCUUUUAGAAAAUCUCACACCACUUCCUAGUUGGAGCAAUUAAACAAUAGAGAAGAUGGGUAUUCUGGAGCAGAAUUUAAUGAAACAGAACUCCACCAUCUAUGGCAAGUUUGACUGCUUGAGUCUCCAGAGGAUAAUAGUUGGAGGCCACUGAGGCCCAAAUUCAUCAGUCCGGCCAUUGAAGGACACAAGUGAACAAAGGAGGACGGCAAAGACAGAACUGUGAUAUUCAAACACUCAAUAGCUCACAGUGUCGGGGUUCAUUAUGACACUUACUAAGCACAUGCCAUAUUUCUGACACUGUGCUAAGAGUUUCAUGAACAUUAACUAAAUUAACCCCAUAAAAACGCCAUUAGAAAGAUGCAGUUUUGUACCCCCUUACACAGAUGAAGAAAAUAAAGUAUAGAGACUUUAAGAAAUUUGCCAGAAGUCUUAUAACUGGUGAGUAAACUUUAGCUACUUGAUCAGACCUCAACCAGGCGAUCAGAACCCAGAAC
rnacentral:lncRNA from 1 species